GUAACAAUAUAACUUGAACUAGUUGACAACCACCUUCCCUUUCGUAAGGUAAUAAUACUGUUGUAAAUCCACGUUUGUAAUGAUUUAGCAGUUUAUUCUUACAUACUCUAAAACCACUAGAUAUAAAACGGUUUGAGUAAACUGGCUAGUAACUGUUAAGUUUCUUCUGUGUUGUUGCCCCCACUCUCGUGAUUUGUAGAGGCACGCCUGUAAGACACGUCUCCAUGCAAACGGCGCUUGCACCAUUUUCAACUCCCUUUCUCGGUUGCACUCGGGUCCCACGAGAAGGCAAGCCGUCUACAAUAAUGUGAGCCUAAUUCGCUCAUAAAGCAAAAAGACUGAUUGCCAAUUGCGAAAAUUAGGCCACCCCGAUUUUGAUGGGGAGGAAGAAAAGUUCAUGAAAAAAAAGCUGGAAGCAGGUUGGCACAUUUGUCAUGUGCGUACACAUUUUACACUCCCACAUUGAUGCAUCAAGUUCCCUAGCUAUAAGUGAUAAAUUCCAUAUAAAUAAUACAAAAUAAACAGUAGUCAGAAAUGCAGCACGUGAACACAGCUGGGUCCCCGAGUCCGCGUGCCAGGUUUGAGCGAAUACAACCAACUGUCAUCUACACAAUUUACAAAAUCAUUCUUAACCGAGGACUACGGUAAGUCAACAAAAGACAAGGCGAAAAUGGACAGGCACCUGUAAGAUUCCUAUCUGCCCGUUGACCCUUGAGGAUCACACAGCCAUAGUGAGCAAUUGGCCUUUUUACUCAAAAGGGUAAGUACCGCGGCUGGGAUUCUCCUCGACUAGGAGAGGAGAGAGUGCACUCUUUCAACUCUCUGUUGUGCAUCCGAUGGCACAGGCCGCUCAGAGCUGAACCUUGACAAACGGCAGCAGGGGAGAUUUAGUUCAAGGCCAGCUUUUUGUAAACUUUUAUUUAAAAACAGAGAUGCAACCAGAGAUUCCCUUAACCCCUUUAUAUGGUGGAAGCUAUAUUGGAAGCUUUUGGCUGUGAUAAUGUAGCUCUGUCAUUCAACCCCUAGCCCCCAUAAUGUAUUCAACUCAAUUACCUGUCUAUUCCAUAGACAGACUGUGUGUGUGUGUGUGUGUGUGUGUGUGUGCGUGCAUGUGCGCAUUGACCUUCAGGGAGAGAGUAAACUUUACUCUUCAUGCCAUCUUGUAAACAUCUACACAAAAUGUUCUUGAGUGUGUAAUGUAUCUAUUGGUUAAUAGUUCUGUAGCCGAGGACCAGAGUAAAUGGUGGAGUAAAAUCUCAAGACACGUCGACAUAAACAGAAUGAUAUAGAGAUACAUUUAGAGCUGUGUUUGUAUUUCACUCUGUCUUGAGAUUUGACUGCGUCUCAGAAGGAAAGUAAAUACUCUCUUUUGCAAAGCUCUCUGCUAGCUGCUUUUGAGCUAAAUAGAAAAUGAAUGUGAGUCAGCAGGAGGGCUGAUGCUGUGAGCAAGAUUGAUGUAUGCACACACAGAACAGCAACAGCCUGCAUGCUCAUCAGUCUGCUGUCAAUGGGGCUUUGUGUUUACUCAGCCACUACUCUUUAUACCUUAUACUGUACAUUACUACUGCAGUAUGGCUUAGUCAGCACACACACAGCCAGAACAACA
rnacentral:lncRNA from 1 species